GACGAACGCUGGCGGCGUGCUUAACACAUGCAAGUCGAACGGAAAGGCCCUGCUUUUGUGGGGUGCUCGAGUGGCGAACGGGUGAGUAACACGUGAGUAACCUGCCCUUGACUUUGGGAUAACUUCAGGAAACUGGGGCUAAUACCGGAUAGGAGCUCCUGCUGCAUGGUGGGGGUUGGAAAGUUUCGGCGGUUGGGGAUGGACUCGCGGCUUAUCAGCUUGUUGGUGGGGUAGUGGCUUACCAAGGCCUUGACGGGUAGCCGGCCUGAGAGGGUGACCGGCCACAUUGGGACUGAGAUGCGGCCCAGACUCCUACGGGAGGCGGCAGUGGAGAAUAUUGCACAAUGGGCGGAAGCCUGAUGCAGCAACGCCGCGUGCGGGGUGACGGCCUUCGGGUUGUAAACCGCUUUCGCCUGUGACGAAGCGUGAGUGACGGUAAUGGGUAAAGAAGCACCGGCUAACUACGUG
rnacentral:rRNA from 1 species